rnacentral:rRNA from 1 species
UACGUAGGGUGCGAGCGUUGUCCGGAAUUAUUGGGCGUAAAGAGCUUGUAGGCGGUUUGUCGCGUCUGCUGUGAAAAUCCGGGGCUCAACCCCGGACUUGCAGUGGGUACGGGCAGACUAGAGUGUGGUAGGGGAGACUGGAAUUCCUGGUGUAGCGGUGAAAUGCGCAGAUAUCAGGAGGAACACCGAUGGCGAAGGCAGGUCUCUGGGCCACUACUGACGCUGAGGAGCGAAAGCGUGGGUAGCAAACAGG